rnacentral:rRNA from 1 species
GGCGGCGUGCUUAACACAUGCAAGUCGAACGGUGAAGCCCAGCUUGCUGGGUGGAUCAGUGGCGAACGGGUGAGUAACACGUGAGCAACCUGCCCUCCACUUCGGGAUAAGCCUUGGAAACGGGGUCUAAUACCGGAUAUGAGCGCCUGCUGCAUGGCGGGUGUUGGAAAGUUUUUCGGUGGGGGAUGGGCUCGCGGCCUAUCAGCUUGUUGGUGGGGUAAUGGCCUACCAAGGCGUCGACGGGUAGCCGGCCUGAGAGGGCGACCGGCCACACUGGGACUGAGACACGGCCCAGACUCCUACGGGAGGCAGCAGUGGGGAAUAUUGCACAAUGGGCGAAAGCCUGAUGCAGCGACGCCGCGUGAGGGAUGACGGCCUUCGGGUUGUAAACCUCUUUCAGCAGGGAAGAAGCGCAAGUGACGGUACCUGCAGAAGAAGCGCCGGCUAACUACGUGCCAGCAGCCGCGGUAAUACGUAGGGCGCAAGCGUUGUCCGGAAUUAUUGGGCGUAAAGAGCUCGUAGGCGGUUUGUCGCGUCUGGUGUGAAAACCUCAGGCUCAACCUGGGGCGUGCAUCGGGUACGGGCAGACUAGAGUGCGGUAGGGGAGACUGGAAUUCCUGGUGUAGCGGUGGAAUGCGCAGAUAUCAGGAGGAACACCGAUGGCGAAGGCAGGUCUCUGGGCCGCAACUGACGCUGAGGAGCGAAAGCAUGGGGAGCGA